CGAACAGUUCUUCUCUCUUGACUUUUCCACUUCAUCUUCUCCGAUUUAAGAUUUUUUUUUCAUAACCUUCUCAAUAAAUGAUGAUCUUAAAAUCAUUCUUGAAUGUUUCUUUCCACCUCCAUGUGAUCCUUCUCCUAUAUAAAGCUAUAUGUCUUAACCUAAAUUAACCCAAAAUCAAAACCUAAAGUUACAUCCAUAGCCAUGAAAUCCACGGCAAAAUCUCAGCUCUCCACUCGCACUUUAUUCUAAGCCCAACCGCACGAUCUCUACUUCUACUCAGCCACCGUCAAAUCGAAAAUGCAAUUCCUCUGGUAAAAGCUCAUCGCCGGCGAAUCUCCUUCAGAGCUGAAUCAUCAUCAUCCAGGUUCUUACCAUGUGACGUCUCUCAGCUUUGUCUACCCGUCGAGAAUAUCAGUCUUCAGCUCCGGUGAAGCAACCAAUGAGCUACAAAUGCUUCUUAAAACAGUGAGCAACCAAAUGAAGUGAAAUUCAAAAGGCUGCGUAAGGGGAACCCUCCAAUUAAGCGCAAGAUACUCAACUUUACAGCUGCGAUUGAGAUCCUUCCGUGGUUGGCUUUGUGGAAGAGAUUGUAUCGAAAGGCAGAGGAGCAUAGGAACGUAAUGACCCAGGCCUCUUGUGGAUUGCCAAGUCUAUGAUUGAAUCACACACCAUAGGUUCCAGGAUAUAUAAAACUUCAUAAAAGUAAGAUUUGGGACUGAUAAUAUAUGAAGCGUGGUUCUGUAACACUGGUGGAAGCAUAUAAUAUUACCUCUAAUUGGAGUGUGGAUCUAUAUGAAAAAGGAGAGAGAUGAAAGUCUGAAACUAAAUUGGUGUCCAUGAAAUAACAACAGAACAGUUGGUGUUCUCAGGUUCCGUGUCCAGUUCUGUGUCUGAUGGGACAGUGCGGUUGGGUUGUCCAUUUGAUGGAGAGAUGACUAAACUAAUCAACGAACGUUCAGCAGAUGUGCUCAACUUUUUUUUUUGUAACUUAGAUGUGCCCAACUUACGACGGCCCAGGUGUGGAGGACCCCAAUCAAAGACACAAUGGUUAGAGGACUGGUUUGGAGGAAGAAUCAUGCACGAGUAGUGGAAGCCAUGAACUGCUUCAUCAUGGUGGAGUCAAGCCUGACAGUGAUCUGCUUCAUCAUGGUGGAAACCAUGAUCUGCUACAUCAUGGUGGAGUGAAGCCUGACAGUGUAGAACUUCAGGAUGUGCACACCAUCAAGAAGACCCGAAAUGGUUAGCUUCGCAUAAGAGGGAGUGUCCAAGCCCAACGAUUUAACCAGAAUAGUAUUAAAAACUCUAGAGAAGGAUAAAAGCCAUGCUACUACACUAUGACGAAACGAUUUUAUCUUUUCGGUUCUUUGAUAAAAUAAUAAUUCUUUUGAUACUUUAAACUAAUUACUGUAAAUUUUAAUAAUUGUUGUUUUUAAUUGUC